GAACGCUAGCUACAGGCUUAACACAUGCAAGUCGAGGGGCAGCAUGGUCUUAGCUUGCUAAGGCCGAUGGCGACCGGCGCACGGGUGAGUAACACGUAUCCAACCUGCCGUCUACUCUUGGACAGCCUUCUGAAAGGAAGAUUAAUACAAGAUGGCAUCAUGAGUCCGCAUGUUCACAUGAUUAAAGGUAUUCCGGUAGACGAUGGGGAUGCGUUCCAUUAGAUGGUAGGCGGGGUAACGGCCCACCUAGUCUUCGAUGGAUAGGGGUUCUGAGAGGAAGGUCCCCCACAUUGGAACUGAGACACGGUCCAAACUCCUACGGGAGGCAGCAGUGAGGAAUAUUGGUCAAUGGGCGAGAGCCUGAACCGGCCAAGUAGCGUGAAGGAUGACUGCCCUAUGGGUUGUAAACUUCUUUUAUAAAGGAAUAAAGUCGGGUAUGGAUGCCCGUUUGCAUGUACUUUAUGAAUAAGGAUCGGCUAACUCCGUGCCAGCAGCCGCGGUAAUACGGAGGAUCCGAGCGUUAUCCGGAUUUAUUGGGUUUAAAGGGAGCGUAGAUGGAUGUUUAAGUCAGUUGUGAAAGUUUGCGGCUCAACCGUAAAAUUGCAGUUGAUACUGGAUAUCUUGAGUGCAGUUGAGGCAGGCGGAAUUCGUGGUGUAGCGGUGAAAUGCUUAGAUAUCACGAAGAACUCCGAUUGCGAAGGCAGCCUGCUAAGCUGCAACUGACAUUGAGGCUCGAAAGUGUGGGUAUCAAACAGGAUUAGAUACCCUGGUAGUCCACACGGUAAACGAUGAAUACUCGCUGUUUGCGAUAUACGGCAAGCGGCCAAGCGAAAGCGUUAAGUAUUCCACCUGGGGAGUACGCCGGCAACGGUGAAACUCAAAGGAAUUGACGGGGGCCCGCACAAGCGGAGGAACAUGUGGUUUAAUUCGAUGAUACGCGAGGAACCUUACCCGGGCUUAAAUUGCAGAUGAAUUACGGUGAAAGCCGUAAGCCGCAAGGCAUCUGUGAAGGCGCUGCAUGGUUGUCGUCAGCUCGUGCCGUGAGGUGUCGGCUUAAGUGCCAUAACGAGCGCAACCCUUGUUGUCAGUUACUAACAGGUUCCGCUGAGGACUCUGACAAGACUGCCAUCGUAAGAUGUGAGGAAGGUGGGGAUGACGUCAAAUCAGCACGGCCCUUACGUCCGGGGCUACACACGUGUUACAAUGGGGGGUACAGAGGGCCGCUACCACGCGAGUGGAUGCCAAUCCCCAAAACCUCUCUCAGUUCGGACUGGAGUCUGCAACCCGACUCCACGAAGCUGGAUUCGCUAGUAAUCGCGCAUCAGCCACGGCGCGGUGAAUACGUUCCCGGGCCUUGUACACACCGCCCGUCAAGCCAUGGGAGCCGGGGGUACCUGAAGAGCGUAACCGCGAGGAGCGCCCUAGGGUAAAACUGGUGA
rnacentral:rRNA from 1 species